UAGGUUCUUGUAGUUGA
rnacentral:tRNA from 1 species